rnacentral:tRNA from 1 species
GGAGAGGUGGCCGAGCGGCUGAAGGCGCUAGUCUCGAAAACUGGUUUACCCUUACGGGUAACGUGGGUUCGAAUCCCACCCUCUCCG